GUUCCACAACACUCUACAGUCCCCAAUGUAUGCAUAUCUGAAAAAGAUGUAUGUGAAUCUACAUAAAUUAUAGGUCUCUGAUCCAAACACAGAUGACCUCAUCUGCAACUUAAAAGGGUCCCAGUUCCCUCAUUCUUUGAAUCAUUUCCCUUUUGUCUUGAUUCCUUACCUGAAGUAGAACCACUAACCAACUAAAACUGUUUCAAAUCCCUAAUGAAGUUCACC
rnacentral:lncRNA from 1 species